CAGAAGAGUAUUCUUGAGAUCCACCCUCCGAGUGUCACCCUCAAGGAGUCAGGAACAGGGGGCAAGGCCUCUGAAGAAGCCUGGGCUGACAUCAGGAAGCAGCUGAGGGAAUUCACACAUUCCACCCAGGAGGAACAGGAAAGGGAACGUGCUCAGCUAAUCACCCGGGCAACGGUUGCUGAGGAGCAGGUCUCCGAGCUGCAGGAGUAUGUGGAUAAGCACCUGGCCAGGUACAAGCAGGAGAUCACACGACUGAGGAAGCUCCUGGGCACGGACACAGGCCGCGCCCACAGUGCUGACGCCCCUGAGGCCCACCUUCUGCGACACGCCAAGAGGAACCCCAGCUAUGAACUCUAACCAGUUCUGGGCAAAUGCAAACACUCCUGGGCACCUCCCAACACACCCAUGGGUGCCCGUUUCACAAAGAACCCCACAACAGCGGCCACAUCUGGGGGCACCUGUGCCAUUUUCAACCCUGAGACAGCUCUGCUAGUAAACCACUGCAGAUACAACUAAAAUGGCCCAAAAGCGAGCACUUUAAGUAGGAAUGCUCUGGCCAAUGACUGGAAUUACACAAUUCUUAAGUCAUGUUUUAGUCUAGUUAACAUUUCCAUUAGUGCAUGAGCACUACAUGAAAUCCAAACAGAUUGGAUUAGUUCUGAAGAGGUAUCAAGCAAUCAUUUUAUUAAUUCAUUCAUUUACUAAAAAUAUAUUUUUUUCUCAACGUCACAAAUCACUUCAUCAAGAUUAAUGUUAUAGGUGUUGCCAGACCCAGAAAUGUGCUAGGUUAAAUAUUUAAAAACAGACCAUUGAUCUUCCACUCUGGAUUCUUCAUUACUUUUUAUUGGUCUGCAUUAC